rnacentral:sRNA from 1 species
AGCCACAGAGUUUGGCUCUGAAUUUGGAGUCAUUUCCCCUCCAGGGGCUCAGGCUGGGCAGACAUCCAGGGAGUUAGCCAGGACGGCAAUUAGAGGGCUGAUGACUUUCUGCCUGAUGAUGGAGAGGCCCACACGGUUUCCUGGAGAGGGCUGUCUGCCAGGGUGUGCACGCGCACACGCACAAGCUCAGGCUCAGGGGGUCAUCCAUCUCCAGCCCCAUCUGACCAGCUCAACACCAGCAGUGCAGAGAGUGAGCUCUGGGAGCCAGGGGAGCGGCUUCCGGUCCGUCUGACGAACGGAAGCAGCAGCUGCAGCGGGACGGUGGAGGUCCGGCUCGAGGCGUCCUGGGAGCCCGCGUGCGGGGCACUCUGGGACAGCCGCGCCGCAGAGGCCGUGUGCCGAGCACUGGGCUGCGGCGGGGC